AUGGAUGCGGUGGAAGACACCAUGCUGGAGGCCGCCAUUGGGUGGCUUGCAGACACCAUCCUUGCAAAUCUCCCAGACGGCGGCAAGCUGGAUUCCUGGAUUCGCCAGGCAGGCCUGGGCAACGACAUCGGGAAGCUCAAGGCCGAGGUCGAGGCGGUGGAGAUGUUGGUUUCUGCUGUGCAGGGGAGGGCGGCCCGGAACAAGCCGCUGGCCAAAUCCCUCGCUUGUCUCAAGGAGCUGCUCUACGACGCCGACGAUGUGGUCGACGAGCUGGACUGCUGCAGGCUCCAGCAGCACGAGCUCCAACCAGGGACACUGCUCCAAACGCAGCAAGUUGAGGGAUCUAGAGAAAAUGCUGGUGAUGUACAGCGUAGCAGUAAGGGCAGGUUACGGUUCGAGGGAUGGAAUCACUUUGACAUCAUAGAGUCUGAACAAAAUGGAGGGCCUGCCAGAGCAAGAUGCAAGCGCUGUCAAAAAGAGCUUAAGUGCAAAACCAAAAAUGGGACAUCAGUUUUGCACAAGCAUCUCGAAACCAAAGCGUGUCAAAAUAGCACAGGUGGAGCAAGUCACCCUUCUUCAAGCACCGCUCAUGCUACUGCAAUUCCUAUGCCUGUUGUGACUGGUGAUUCACCAAACAGAAAAAGGAUGAGAACCGGUCAGGAGUCAACACACAUCGCCGCAGUUAACCCAAACAGGUGGAACAAGGACACAUUUCCCGAAAGGAUACAAGGCAUCACUAGUCAGCUGCAAGUCAAACGAGAGGCUGUCACAAAGCUUCUCAAGAUACUUGGGCCAGACUCUGGGGGUGCAAGUUCUAAUCACUGUCAUAUUACAAUCUCAGAUCCACACCGAAGAACAUCAGGUCUUGUUCAAGGAAAAGUGUAUGGAAGAGCUCAAGAGAGGGGAUCCAUCAAAAAGUUGAUACAAAAACACAAAUCAACUGAAGGUGUAACUGUUCUGCCUAUUGUAGGCAUAGGAGGAGUUGGGAAGACAGCUCUCGCUCAACUUGUAUACAAUGAUCCAGCUUUGGAAAGUCAGUUUGAUCACAAGAUAUGGAUUUGGGUGUCUAACAACUUUGAUGAAAUGAGACUCACAAGAGAGAUGUUAGAUUACGUCUCGCAUGAAACACAUGAUGGCCUAUGUAGCUUUCCCAAGCUUCAGGAGGUCUUGAAGGGUCAUUUUAAAUCAAAGCGGGUUCUACUUAUUUUAGAUGAUGUCUGGGAAGCCAUGGAUGACGGCCAAUGGAACACAUUGUUGGCCCCUUUCAAGUCUGAUGGUGCAAUUGGCAAUCUAAUAAUUCUGACAACUAGAAAACCGUUUGUUGCCAAAAGGAGAGGUACAGUUGGACCAGUUAGCUUAGGUGCUUUGGAAAAGGACCAUUUUUGGCAAUUGUUUAAAUCAUGCGCGUUUGGGGAUGUGAAUUACGAAGCGCAAGCAAGUCUAAGUGACUUAGGACAGGAAAUAGCACAAAAAUUAAAAGGAAACCCAUUAGCAGCACAAACUGCUGGGGCACUAUUAAGACAACAUCUUACUGUGGAUCAUUGGAGUAACAUUCUGAAGACUGAAGCUUGGAAAUCCCUGCAACACACUGGUGGCAUCAUGUCUUCUUUGAAGCUUUCCUAUGAUGAGCUGCCCUACCCUAUACAGCAAUGCUGGUCAUAUUGUUCUAUAUUCCUCUACGGUGAUGAAUUUCUUGCCGAGGAGCUAGUUCAUCUUUGGAUUUCACAGGGAUUUGUGAAGCGUGAUCAUUCAAGUAAGAGUUUGGAGGAGAUUGGACGGUACUAUCUGACUUACUUGGUGAACCUGGGCUUGUUUGAGCAGGUUGAAAGAUAUAUACUCCCUUUUGAUGGUGUAACUAAAACUGGAUAUGCUAUGUGUGGCCUGAUGCAUGAUUUUGCAAGGCUAGCUUCAAAAACUGAGUGCGCGGCUUUGGAUGGUUUGCAGUGCAAUGACAUAUUGCCAACCGUACACCAUUUGUCUAUAGUAACCACUUCUAUAUAUCGGUGGGAUGAUCAGACUGGGAACAUACCUCGUAGUGAGAAGUUUGAAUUUCUUUUGCAAAAUAUAGCCACACCAGUGAGAAAGUUGAGGACAUUGGUGUUAAUUGGGAACUAUGACUCCUUUUUCUUCAAAGCAUUCCAUGAUGAAUUUGAAAAGGCACAUAAUCUGCGUCUGCUGCAAAUGUCUGCAACAUCUGCUAAUUUUAAUUCCUUCAUGUGUAGCUUGGCAAAUCCUACACGUCUUCGGUAUCUAAAACUUGUGGAUACUCAUACUGAGCAGAAGACUUUGCCUCAUGUUUUGAGCAAGUUUUUACAUCUUCAAGUAUUGGAUGUGUUCAUUGGGUUGCAUACGGUUCAUCUAGAGGAUUGUGGAGAAUGGAGAAUAAUUUCAUCUCUAGAAAUGCUUCGGUUUCUUAAACGGUUGAAGUUGAGGAGCAUGCGGAGAGUAAAAGAAAUAUCAUUUCCGUCAUUGGAGGAGCUGGUUUUAGAUGGAAUGACAGAUUUACAGAGAUGUUCCUGUCUUUCCAUGGGGGAUAUGAGGUCUAGUUUAAGGGUGCUGGAGAUCCAGAGUUGCCCUGCACUUGAGGUGUUUGAUCUGUUUCGGAAAGAUCAUAACUAUGAAAUUGAGCCUAAGCCAUAG
rnacentral:rRNA from 1 species